CAAAAACACCUUGUGUAAUGAAAAACCCAGAUCUAUAACCUCUCCCUAUAUAUUCUGCAUGCAUUGAGGUAGGCUCAAAUCCUUAGGGACCUGGUAUAGACGCGGAAUCUGUUUCACACAACAACUGCUAUUUGAAGGAAAAAAUAAAAGAAGCAAAUGAUACCAAGACAAGCUCAUAACAGAGAUCCAAUCAGCAGAUGUGUACGGAUGAAAAUACAGCUUGAAGGCAGGUCCACUCCUCCUCCUGGAAGCCUUCCCUUGACUGAUUCCUCGCUGAGUUCACAGUGAGAUGAGUCAGAAAACGGCCAAGGAGGGUCCCAGACUCUCCAAAAACCAGAAGUACUCCGAGCACUUCAGCAUACACUGCUGCCCGCCGUUCACCUUCCUCAAUUCCAAGAAGGAGAUAGUGGAUCGGAAAUACAGCAUCUGUAAGAGCGGCUGCUUCUACCAGAAGAAAGAGGAGGACUGGAUCUGCUGCGCCUGCCAAAAGACCAGAACCAGCCGCCGUGCCACGUCCCCUCAGAAGCCCAAGAAACAGCCAGCUGCGCCCCCUGCGGUGGUCAGAGAGCCAGCCAAGCCACGGUCCCCUCCGAGGUCUGAGCGUCAGCCACGGUCCCCUCCGAGGUCUGAGCGUCAGCCACGGUCCCCUCCGAGGUCUGAGCGUCAGCCACGCCCCCGCCCAGAGGUCCGACCACCGCCAGCCAAGCAGCGUCCCCCUCAGAAGUCCAAGCAACAGCAGCGCAGCAGCCCCCUCAGAGGGCCAGGCGCCAGUCGUGGGGGGUCCCCCGUCAAAGCUUCUAGGUUCUGGUAACACCAUCUCUUCCCUUUUGUUCCCCAGCCCUAAGAUUGAAAAGGAAGAUCAGGCCAACCCCAAAAAAGAAGUGAUCAAGGAAGAGUUUAAAGUGAAUGAACGGCCUUGGCUCCUGGACUCAUUGCUUCACAACUCAUCUACCCUUGGAUGAAGUUAUCUGGCUUCAAAUAUUAUGCAGGGACAAACACCUGCUGAUGCAGCAACUGCUGAUGCUCAUGGUCCCCAUGGCCUGGGGGCCUCAGGGCAGCCUGCCUGGAGCACUUUGAAGAUGCCAUCCCAUUGUCUUCUGACCUCUGUAAUUGCCACGGAGAGAUCUGCUGUCAGUCUGCUUAUCCUUCCAUGGACUCAAGUUUCUUCAAUCUGAAGAUACAUGUCUUUCUCCAGGGACAUGCGGAAAAAAAAAAAAAAAAAAGAUG